AGACCCGAAACCCGGUGAUCUAGCCAUGGGCAGGUUGAAGGUUGGGUAACACUAACUGGAGGACCGAACCGACUAAUGUUGAAAAAUUAGCGGAUGACCUGUGGCUGGGGGUGAAAGGCCAAUCAAACCGGGAGAUAGCUGGUUCUCCCCGAAAGCUAUUUAGGUAGCGCCUCGUGAAUUCAUCUCCGGGGGUAGAGCACUGUUUCGGCUAGGGGGCCAUCCCGGCUUACCAACCCGAUGCAAACUGCGAAUACCGGAGAAUGUUAUCACGGGAGACACACGGCGGGUGCUAACGUCCGUCGUGAAGAGGGAAACAACCCAGACCGCCAGCUAAGGUCCCAAAGUCAUGGUUAAGUGGGAAACGAUGUGGGAAGGCCCAGACAGCCAGGAUGUUGGCUUAGAAGCAGCCAUCAUUUAAAGAAAGCGUAAUAGCUCACUGGUCGAGUCGGCCUGCGCGGAAGAUGUAACGGGGCUAAACCAUGCACCGAAGCUGCGGCAGCGAACGUAUCACUUAAAGCGAUUCAGCGGGUUACGAUUGACGGAGCGAAGCGACGUCAAAGCGUAUACAAAGUCGAGUCGGUUUAAGGAUACGUUCGUUGGGUAGGGGAGCGUUCUGUAAGCCUGCGAAGGUGGCCUGUGAGGGUUGCUGGAGGUAUCAGAAGUGCGAAUGCUGACAUAAGUAACGAUAAAGCGGGUGAAAAGCCCGCUCGCCGGAAGACCAAGGGUUCCUGUCCAA
rnacentral:rRNA from 1 species